rnacentral:rRNA from 1 species
UAUGUGAUCGUCUCUCGCAUAUCAAUAAGCGGAGGAAAAGAAACUAACAAGGAUUCCCCUAGUAACGGCGAGUGAAGCGGGAAGAGCUCAAAUUUGAAAUCUUAAAGGGUUUCCCUUUACGAAUUGUAGUUUAAAGAAGUGUUUUCUGUUGAGGUUUUGGUAAAAGUUCUUUGGAAUAGGACAUCAUAGAGGGUGAGAAUCCCGUAUUUGACCUUUACUUUCAACUUUGUGAUACACUUUCAAAGAGUCGGAUUGUUUGGGAAUGCAGUCCAAAAUGGGUGGUAAAUUUCAUCUAAAGCUAAAUAUUGGCGAGAGACCGAUAGCGAACAAGUACCGUGAGGGAAAGAUGAAAAGAACUUUGAAAAGAGAGUUAAACAGUACGUGAAAUUGUCAAAAGGGAAGCGUUUGACACCAGUGUUGUUUUUCUGAAAAUCAAUUAAAGAACUGUUUAUGCUAAGUUGUUUAGACUUUAUCAGCUAACUGUUUAGUUUUGAGCUUUUCUUUAAUGCACUUUUCAGUUAACAAGUCAACAUCAAUUUCUUUUGCUGUAAAAAAGCUUGAGGAAGGUGGCUUGAGAUUCGUCUUAAGUGUUUAUAGCCUCUUGCCUAUGCAGUCGGAGAGAUUGAGGUCUGCAGCGUAGAUCCUUCGGGGCUAAAUGCAUUUGUGACUAAGUUAUAGCAUUUUAUAGACAACUUGUUGACUAUGAUUUGUCUUGUAGCUUACUCGCUUAUGUUAUUUUACCUACGCUUAGGAUGUUGACACACGCGCGUGCUCG